UACGUAGGGAGCAAGCGUUGUCCGGAAUCAUUGGGCGUAAAGCGCGCGUAGGUGGCCCCGUAAGUCCGCUGUGAAAGUCAAAGGCUCAACCUUUGAAAGCCGGUGGAUACUGUGGGGCUAGAGUACGGAAGAGGCGAGUGGAAUUCCUGGUGUAGCGGUGGAAUGCGCAGAUAUCAGGAGGAACACCAAUAGCGAAGGCAGCUCUCUGGGACGGUACUGACGCUGAGACGCGAAAGCGUGGGGAGCGAACAGG
rnacentral:rRNA from 1 species